CUAAAAUCAAAGGCGAGAGUAGGGACGACAGACUGCGCCGCACUGACUUCUUCCUGCCUGAAGACCCAUUCAAACAUGGUUCCUCCUGUACAGGUCUCACCUCUUAUCAAGACAGCAAGAUGGUCUGCCUUGCUCAUUGGAUUGAUUUAUGGAAAGCAAAGAUAUGAUUACCUGAAGCCCAUCGCUGCUGAAGAGAGGAGGAUUGAGGAGGAAGAGAAGAAACUCAGGGAAGAACAAGAGCGCAUUUACAAGCAGCUUUCAGAAGCAAACUCUGACACCAUUUUGAAGUAAAUCCCCACGAUGUAUCCAUUCCAGCACUAAAUGAGACGAACCACAAUGAACCUAAUUCUAUUUUUCAAUAAAGACAGAAGUUAAAAAUA